rnacentral:tRNA from 1 species
GGUUAUGGCUCAGCGGUAGAGUCCUUGCCUAGCAUGUGCGAGGUGCUGGGUUUGAUCCUCAGCACCA